rnacentral:snRNA from 1 species
AUAUGGAUUAGUGUUAAA